rnacentral:rRNA from 1 species
AUUGAACGCUGGCGGCAGGCCUAACACAUGCAAGUCGAGCGGAUGAAGGGAGCUUGCUCCUGGAUUCAGCGGCGGACGGGUGAGUAAUGCCUAGGAAUCUGCCUGGUAGUUGGGGAUAACGUCCGGAAACGGGCGCUAAUACCGCAUACGUCCUGAGGGAGAAAGUGGGGGAUCUUCGGACCUCACGCUAUCAGAUGAGCCUAGGUCGGAUUAGCUAGUUGGUGGGGUAAAGGCCUACCAAGGCGACGAUCCGUAACUGGUCUGAGAGGAUGAUCAGUCACACUGGAACUGAGACACGGUCCAGACUCCUACGGGAGGCAGCAGUGGGGAAUAUUGGACAAUGGGCGAAAGCCUGAUCCAGCCAUGCCGCGUGUGUGAAGAAGGUCUUCGGAUUGUAAAGCACUUUAAGUUGGGAGGAAGGGCAGUAAGUUAAUACCUGCCUGUUUUGACGUUACCAACAGAAUAAGCACCGGCUAACUUCGUG